AUGAAAAGGUCACUACACGGACCUGGUGAGGAGUUUGGGGUAGACCAGAAACCUCUGUCACCCAAGACCCAUCAAAGCAUGCAGAAACAAAAGAAGAAUGAGUAUAUCCAAUUCUGGGUCUCUGCAAGCCCAUCUGAAUUUGUCCCUCUGGCUGAAGUGCAAUUGGAGGAGAAGAUUCACAAGUCAACUAUGAGCACAAGCAGGAUCCUCUCCUGUGUUCUAAGGGAAAAUUACUUUGGCAAUCAAGCACAGCACCUGCUGGAGGGCAGACUAAACAAAAAUUAA
rnacentral:lncRNA from 12 species